rnacentral:rRNA from 1 species
UGCGUAGGCGGCCUGGCAAGUUGGGUGUGAAAUCCCUCGGCUCAACCGAGGAAUUGCGCUCAAAACUGCCAAGCUAGAGGAAGAUAGAGGCGAGCGGAACUCAGGGUGGAGCGGUGAAAUGCGUUGAUAUCCUGGGGAACACCAGUAGCGAAAGCGGCUCGCUGGAUCUUUUCUGACGCUGAGGCACGAAAGCUAGGGGAGCGAACG